ensembl:processed_transcript D430001F17Rik RIKEN cDNA D430001F17 gene
CUUAGGUUUACCAGCAAGGACAGGCAUGUACUCUCCCCAGUGCUCUCUCCCAUGCCCUUGCCAGCUGCUCCGCUAUGCAGUGAGUCCUGGAUGUCAAGGUCAAGACAGAGAAAUCCGUGCCCACUCCCCACGGGGACGAAACGCGGAUCCGCCCCACGCUGCCUGCAGUCGCCGGGCCCCACGACCCUGGGCGGGCUGCCUGACCCCUCAGCCACGGCCUCACACGCGGCGAUGGGAGCCGGGGACCCGCAACCCUGGGAGGGAGCCUCCCGCCAGCUUCUACCUGUCGAGACAGUCCGGACGCUGCAGGCGCGGCCAUCUUUUCCCGGGCGGCUGUAGGUCAAACCCAAAUGAAAAGAGACUACUGGCGCCAGAGCGCACGCGCGCGCCAGCGUGAUCGCUCGGCUUUCUGGGAAAUGUACGCGUCAGGAGCCCGGGAGUGUGGGUAAGAACCUCUUGCAUGCUGGGAGUUGUAGUCCGUACCUGCCGCGGUCCGGCUGGACUCAUGGGAAGCCCUGCCUACUGUGAGCAUCACUAUUCCCUUGGCAGGGAUCCUGAACUGUGUGAGAACAGAGAGACCCAGCUGGGCGCUCCCAUGCAGGCCCCGACUCCCCGUUCUCUCUGCUCUUGACUGUAGGCGUAACCAGCUGCUUCAGGCUCCUGCCUUGACUUCCCUGAAGUGAUAGACUGCAACCUGGGAUUGUGAGCUAAGUAAACCCUUCUCUUAGUAAGGAGACUCUUGUCAUGAGCCUGUUCCUGACUCUCCACCAGGCAUGGAGUUAGCCUGAUCCCUGAUCCCCGAUCCCCGGCUUUUGCUGCAUUUCCGACAUACAGCGUGCACUGAGCUGAUGACAUAUCUGAUGUGGUUCAAGGCUCCCGAGAGAGCUAAAAGGUACCUGAGUCUGAGGAGCCCUCAAUGGGGAAUAGCAAGCCAGACAGCUUGCUAAUGGACAGACAGAAUGAGACACCUGGCUGGCCCUUCAAAUGGGCAGAAGUUUCUUACCUUCCCAUACUUAAUGCCAGGAUUAGAAUCCAGGCCCAGAGACCAGCCCACCUCUGUCCAAUGGGACCCAAUCUCUCGGCAGCAAUUCUGGCUCUCGGUUUUUAAUCUUAGAUUCCAGUUUUCUUUGUUCCUUAAUUUUCCCUGUGGGAUGGUUUUUUUUUUUUUUCCCAUAGAGCUUUGUGUGGUUCUGUUAUGGAGCAUAGAAGGAGGGCUGAUUUCUCUGUUGGGAGGUGAGGGGAGCACUCUGUCACUCUGAUGGAAUGGAUUGGAAGUGGGUGGAUGCUGGCCAACCUGUGUCCUGCUAAGAUGCAGCCUAGGGGAAUGUCCGUCCCUCACCCCCAGCUGCCUUCGCUCUGCUGGCUGCUGGUCACGUGUCCCUGUUUACCUGCACAGGCAGUCAUUAUUCACCCCUUCCCACGUACCCCCACACUUGCACACAAAGCCAGAGAGUGGCUUACAUUUUCUUUUCUUUCUUUCUUUUAUUUUUUUUUAUUUUUAUUUUUUUUUUUUAAAAGAACCUUCCCCAAACCCAUUCUAAAAUGUCAAGUGUUUCAGUUUGAGGAAAAAAAAAGCUGAAAAAACCGUGACUCAUGACAAGGCUGACAAACAGCUCUGAGGGUAUGCUGGUGAGUCACUCUGAGACUGUAGCGGCGAGGGCCAGCGGUGGGGAGAUUGUCAGGAGACCAGCCAGUAAAAUUCCACAACUCUCCCGAGCAGAGUAGGAGGUAAUUCAAAAACCCUGGGAUUUUUCCAGCUCUCAUUUCAUGUAGGACUCAGGCUGCUCUUAGAUAUGUUGAUCUCCUCAGGAAAUCAUCAAGAAUGAUUACCAAAAAUAUAAAACAAAAAAAAAAACC